ACAUGCCUACAACAUAGUGUUAAUGCAUUAUAUACCAUUAGAACUCUGUAGUUAAGCACACUCAGAAUACAGUAGUACUGGGAUGGGUGAUUGUCUGGGAAGUCCUAGUAUUUUACAUGCC
rnacentral:rRNA from 1 species